rnacentral:lncRNA from 1 species
UCAAACCUUAGGGGUUUGGUUCGGAGCCUCAGAUGCUACAUUGUGAUAAAGAUCUUGAAGCAAAAGAAGAGGUGGUGAUCUACUCACAAGGAGAAAAUUUUCCUUGGAGUUUGUUGGAGAUGAAGAUGAAGAUCAAGAAGAGAAAGCCAGAGGAAUAUUCAGGUAACAAACUUCUAAACUGCAACCUUUCCUUGCUUCAGCUUCUUAUACAUCUUCUUCUUGACUUUAGUCUGUAUGUUUGAGUUAUUGUUAUUGUUGUGUGUGAAUUAGAGAGUGAUGUAGAGAAAGUUCAGAGAGAAUAUGAGAGUAAUGAUUGUUUGGGAGUUGAUUAAUGGAGAGCAGAGAGAAAGUUGAAAGAGAAUAUGAAAGUAGUGAUUGUGAUUUUCUGUAUAAUGAUUGGUGAUCAUUAAUGAAGGUGAUUGUGAGAAUAUAUAAAGUGACUGGUGCCACCGUUUAGGGAAGGUUGCGCAAUGGUUGUUAGAAGUGUUGGGGCAACCAUUUGUGUUAGUUAAAUUGAAGAGGAAACUAGUUAGUGUAUCUAACUCUGUUAAGUUCUAUUAAUAAUAGCUAGUGUACUGUUAUAUUGAAGUUAAUGAUAUGGUUAGUUUAGUUUCACUUAUGUUAAUUGUAUUGAAACAAUUAGGGUGAAUCAUAUUGAUGUUAGUUAGUAGAAAAUUCCGUUAGGAAAUUAGUGUUUGUUAGUAAUGUUAUAAGAAGUUAGUUUCUAAUUGAUGUUAGAAAUUAGUUUUUGGAUCAGUUAAGUGGUUAGUUAUGUUAUGUUGAAUGGUAAUGAAUUGAAAUGGAGGUUGGUUAACUUGCAUUGUUAUUGUUAAGUUAGUUUAGAUUAGAAUGAAUAUCAGCAUGGCCGGUUAGAUUGGAGUUUAGGAAUUUGGUUUGAAGUUUUGAUAAUUAGAAAUGAAUUGAAAGUUAAUAGUUGUUAUUAGAGCUAAUUUGUUAUCGCUUUGUUAGUGGUAUGGAAUUGCAGCUGACUGUUAAUUGACUUGUUUUGUUGAAUUGAAUUUUGAAGUUUGUUAUGUUAGGAAUUAAUUCUGUUAGCAUAAUGGAACUGUUAUUGAUGUUUGUUAAGAUGGAAUGCUACUGAGUUACAGUUGAACUGAUGUAGUGACAAAUUGAUGAAUUAAUACUAUGUUAGUGAUUUAAUAUUGGUUUAAAAGUUAUGAACUGUUAAGAGGAUAGUAAUUGAUCAAGGAUUUUUUGAUGCUGAAUUGUUAUUGUUUUGAGUUAGUUAAUUUAUGAAACAAAUUAAAAAAUUGCUUGUUGAAAUGAAUUGUGGAAAAUGAUAACUUGCAUGUGUAACCGGUUAACCACUUUGGUUAAGUGGUUACCAACACUACUUCAUGUUUUUUUUUGGCUAUGUGGUAGGUUUUGAUGCUGGUACUGAAGCAGCUAGGGUCAAUUAGAGGUUAAUGUUCGCAUGUAUGAAUGAAUUGUCAUGAAAUGUGGUCCAUAAAUUAUUGAAAUGCUAUGGAAUUAGUUUGCUAGGACUAUUAAUGAAAAUGAAGAAAUCAAUGAACUAAACUAAUGAUGGCAUUUGAAGUGGUGCUAGAUGAUGAAUUAUGUUAUGAUAUGCUUAUGCGUACAUGUGUCUACUUUGUUUGGAUUGCAAAAAUUGUAAUCAGCAUGCCAGGUUCAAUUUAUUGAUGGCUUGUUUUUAUGUAUGUAUACAUGAAUGAAUGAAUGUUGAUUGUAGUGUAUGUUGGCAUGUUUUUAGUAGGGCAGGUAUGCUCAUGGUAGUAGUGUACUUGGCUUGGUAUGAGACAAGGUUCAUGAAGGGUUUGGCAUGACAUUUGGGAGCUUUUGGACAAAAUCAAGAUUUGAAGAUUUUGGAGGCUUUGGAGGCUUGUCUAGUGAAUAAAGAGAAGUAGAAUAGGGUUUAGGUUUAUGUAGUUGACUUUGGUCAAUUAUUUGACAAAAAAAUCAACAGUUGACCAGAAGUCAACUCUAGGUAAAAACAUGUAAUUUUUGUAUGGACUUGUGAUUUGAUUCUUUGUGUAAUGAAAUAGAUGCUUGAAAUGUAAACUUUUCCUUCUUGAAUGUAAUUGUAACUUGUAUCUUAAGAAAGAUAAUUUCCC